rnacentral:rRNA from 1 species
GACGAACGCUGGCGGCGUGCCUAAUACAUGCAAGUCGAGCGCAGGAAACCGUCUGAACCCUUCGGGGGGACGACGGCGGAAUGAGCGGCGGACGGGUGAGUAACACGUAAAGAACCUGCCCACGGGUCUGGGAUAACCACGAGAAAUCGGGGCUAAUACCGGACGGGUCAUCGGACCGCAUGGUCCGAGGAUGAAAGGCGCUCCGGCGUCGCCCGUGGAUGGCUUUGCGGUGCAUUAGCUAGUUGGUGGGGUAACGGCCCACCAAGGCGACGAUGCAGAGCCGACCGGAGAGGGUGAUCGGCCACACUGGGACUGAGACACGGCCCAGACUCCUACGGGAGGCAGCAGUAGGGAAUCUUCCACAAUGGACGAAAGUCUGAUGGAGCAACGCCGCGUGAACGAUGAAGGCCCUCGGGUCGUAAAGUUCUGUUGUAAGGGAAGAACAAGUGCCGCAGGCAAUGGCGGCACCUUGACGGUACCUUGCGAGAAAGCCACGGCUAACUACGUGCCAGCCGCCGCAGUAA